ACAGAGUGAGGCUCAACAGCCUGGGAGCUGGGGCCAAGAGGGGGACACCAGCCGUGUCAGCACUGACUCUGGAAGCACAGAUCAUAUGGUCGUCAUCGGUCCUUAAGGAAGUGAGAUUUCCUCAUCUCCACUGCGCUCUCCUAUGGUCAAAACAGCUCUCAAGGUCAAGACGCUUCACCCCAGCUCUCCUACUUUCUUCUCUCGCUGCAGUGGAAUUGGAAAACCACCACCACACCUCCUUAUGCAUCAACAUUUUUCUGACAUGUAAAAAUGAUGCCUAGAAUCGCAGCAUUUAGGGCUCGAAGCCACCAUAUGGAUCCUAGGGUCAAUUGGUUUCAUGUCCCAGAGGAGCAAAUGGUAACCCAGGAAGAAAGAGGGUCUUCCCCAAAACCAAGCUACUAAUUUCCUUGACCGGCUUGCAAAGGCCAAGUCUUCCACAUGGGCUAACCACCCCAGCGGACGCCUGGCCCUCGGAGCACCGCCCUGCGCACAGCUGUGGAAAUUCCUCCAUCCCGGACCACAUUCCUUGGCAAGUGUGGGAGGUGGGGAAGCUGGAAGGUGAACGUCUCUUUCCCUCUCCUAAC